GGAAUUUCUCCGCAGAUUGACAUUUUGCCUCGCAGGGUGCCGAAGAGACCUCUUGAAAACAAACAGAUUGAUGACAACUCACCGAUUCAUUCUGUGAGGAGGGAUGCUGUUACCAGUGGUGAUGAUAAUUCAGCAAAAGUGGAACACAUGACAG